CAGCCAGGAAGGAGGAGGCAGCCAGAGAGGCCACCACUGUUCUUUGCAGCAGAAGACCCCUUGCUGCCAGAUUCAGGAAUGAAAAUGGUCCCCCGGAAGGAGAAUAUGAAGUAGAACUGCCACCAAAGUUUUACCUAAAGUCAAACUGGAUGCUCCUCCUCAGACAAAAGUACUUUCAAGGAAACAAAAGCAUAUUCUUCUCAGGAGUGUUUCACAUUCCCCUGUGUUAAGGUCUUUCCAAGAGCUCAGCGAGUGUCACUGAUAAAUUAUCCAUCAAGCCGGACAACCAACUAAUUUAAAAUAUCCUUGUCCAUCAGAGAUAUUGGUUUGGGUGGAGUGUUAAUCUUCACUGACUUGAAUUUAUGAAACAUUUCCUUAGGGUAAUGCAUGGCGUUUAUUGCAAUGAAUCACUUUGACAUUGUGUUAUAAUAUUUUAAACACUGAUUAAAAUAAUAAAGUCUUGUGGUGCCUUAAAGACUUAACACAUUUGUGGGGGUAACAUCUUAUGUAUCAAAUGCCUCUCGGCUCUUAACUAUACUUCUAACUGUUGCAUUAUUGCAUUGCAUUGAGGCUGCAGAUCAGAGUUAUAGAAGCAUAGAGUUUUAGUGUUAGAGGGGACUUUGGAGGUCUUCUAGUCCUACUCCCUGCUUAGAGCAGGAUAUUGCUACGGCAUCCCUGAUACCACCCUUCCAAAAAUGGCUUAGGGUGGUUAACAUUAAAAACAACACUAAAAUCAAUUAACUGUUAAAAUCAAAACUGUAAAAACCUAAAACUAUUAAAACAAUUAGUUUUUUAAAUCCUGGAAAACUAGGCCAAACCUUUACAGUUUAAAAACCCUGGAAAGCAGGGGCGUAACUACUAUUGGGCAAGGGGAGACAUUUGUCUCUGGGCUCACAGCCUUGAGGGGGCCCCCAGUGGCAAGUCACAUGAUAAUCGUCCCGGCUCCCCAGUGCCCAUGCUUCCUUCAGUGUUCAGGAGGUAUUCCUUCACUUUCUGUCUCUCUCGAGUCCCCUCCCUACUUUCUCCAUCUCCCUUUUGCUCCUCCUUUCCAACCCUGUCCUGGCUCCAUCCAGCCUGCCUUCUCUGGCAUCAGUCAGGGCUCUCAUUGGCUGGUGGGUGGAUGCAUCAGAGCCCUCUACAUGUGGAAGCAGAAAGAGAAAGCAAGAGAGGAUGCAGUGUGUGAGGGAUGCCCACGCCCCAUUUAUCGAGGCCGCUAUUCUCGACUUCCUGCCUUGCUGCUGGUUUAUGCGUCUGGCCACUGCUUCAUUCAUAGGCAGGGAGGGUGGCUGGCUGGCUGCUGUGUGUUUGUGUGCUAAGGAGGAGGAGAGGCAUGGAGCCUGACUCCUCAGGUGAGUGCUGGCUCCGACGGGCUCUUUCCUACUUUUUCUCAGGGCUUGGGAAAGUUGAGGGGGCUUGGUGCUGCUGCCACAGCCAAAAGGGACACCUGGUACUGUGCUUUAACAAAAGCCCGUACUGAAUUCAAAAUGCCCACAAGGUCAUCUUACGAGUGCCGUCCUAAUGCAGAAGGGCGUCAAGCAAGGUUGCAUUCUGGCCCCACUCCUAUUUAAUUUUUACAUCAACUCAAUGGUGGACCAGCUCAGCAACAUUGACUUCCAUCCUCCUAAACUCGCCGGGAGACACCUAGCCACCCUAGUAUAUGCAGAUGACGCAGUCAUCCUCUCAAGAACUCCCAUUGGCCUUAGAAGAGCAUUGAGGGCUCUGACACUGCACUGCAAGGAAGAUGGUCUGGAAAUCAAUUAUAACAAAACUAAAAUAAUGGCCUUUACUAGGAGGCCCAAGAUCCAUUCCUGGAGGAUUGAGGGACAUAAAAUUGAACAAUUGACUCAUUUUAAAUACCUGGGCAUAG